GCGGCUAUCGUCUAGGGGUUAGGACAUCGGGUUUUCAUCCCGGCAACCGGAGUUCGAUUCUCCGUAGCCGUACCA
rnacentral:tRNA from 1 species